GUGAGGAUUGACAGAUUGAGAGCUCUUUCUUGAUUCUUGGGUGGUGGUGCAUGGCCGUUCUUAGUUGGUGGAGUGAUUUGUCUGGUUAAUUCCGUUAACGAACGAGACCCCCGCCUGCUAAAUAGUGGGGCUUACGUUUCUACGUUUGCGGCUCCCUUCUAAAAGGGACUUUCGGUGACUAACCGAAAGAAGUUGGGGGCUGUACCAGGUCUGGGAUGCCAAGCCCA
rnacentral:rRNA from 1 species